rnacentral:lncRNA from 1 species
GAUCAAGAUGUAGACAUCUCAGCUUCUGCAGCAUCAUGCAUGCCUUGCUGCUGCUGCGAUUCCUGUUAUGAUACUAAUGGAUUGAACCUCAGAACCUGAGAAUGUUUAGAAUAGUAAACACCAGAGUGGAGGCUUGAAUGGCUUCCAUAAGGCUCAUAUAUUUGAGUGUCGGUCUUUGCAGCUGUAAUACCACCUUUGAUAUUACUACCAAGGUGGGUCACUGUGAUGGUUUGAAUAUUCUUGGCCAGGAAGUGGCAGUAUUAGGAGGUUUUGUUGGUAUAGUUGUGGCCUUGUUGGAGGAAGUGUGUCACUGUGGGAGUGGGCAAUGAGGCCCUGCUCCGAGCUGCCUGGACACAGUCUGCUCCUGGCUUCCUUUGGAUGAAGAUGCGGAACUUCUCCAGCACCAUGCCAGCCUGGACACCUCCAUGCUGCCCACCAUGAUGAUAAUAGACUGAACCUAAGAACCCAUAAGCCAGCCCCAACUAAAUGUUGUGUUUUGUAAGAGUUGCCUUGGUUAUGGUGUCUCUUCACAGCAAUGGAAACCCUAACUAAGACACUGUACUACUGGAUGUGACAAGCAAGGAUGCUAGGUGUUAUAGAGGCUGAACAUACCUGCCCAGUGUACUGAUUCAUUUUUGUGUGUCGACUUGACACAAGCUGGAGUUAUCACAGAGAAAGGAGCCUCCCUUGAGGAAAUGCCUCCAUGAGAUCCAGCUGUAAGGAGACAAAGAAGGAGACCCAUCCCUAGCAGACAACCCAGUCCAUUCCUGGGAGAGAGGAUGGCACCCAGCAAUGAGCAGACUCCACUAGACUGUUUUUCAGAUGGAGACAUUGGAGAAGCAGAGAGGAUGUGCACAAGGGCCUCCCUUAGAUAAAGUCUUCUUAUCAUCUCGGUCUCCAGGAGGUACCACUGGACAUAGAAAGCAAAUGGAGAGACAUGGCAAGGAGAAAGGAUGUCAGUACUGAAGCUACUGCUAAGAGCCAAGAAAGGGGCUGGAAAGAGGACUCAGCUGUCAAGAACACUUGCUUCCUUCCAGACAACUCAGGUUCAACUCCCAGAAUCUUCGUAGGGGCUCACAACUGUGUGAACCUCCAGUCCCAGGGGGGAAUCUGAAACCUCUUCUGGUCUGUGCAAGCACCAGGCACAAAAGUGGUACACAGAUACACACAGAAGCUAAACACCCAUACACAUAAAAUAAAAAUGUAAAAAGGAUGAAUUAAGAGUCCUGUAAACACCACAGGAAGAUGAUGCUCAGAGCCCCCGAGUACCUGACUGUUCUUGCCAUGGAUUCAUGGGACAGAACCAGGUAAUAUCCAGUAUGUAAGAACUUGAGCAUAGUAGAUACUCAGAAUGUGAGUUUGUCGUUGAUUUGUCAUUGAUUUAAAAACAAAUAGAAACAGGACAAUGUGUGAGCGUAAACACCUACGUGACAGGCAAGUCGGACAUUGAUUGUUGGUACAACCAUGUGCAAGAGUCGCUUGGCUACUUUCACUUCCUAUAAACUGUGUUAUUAUAAGAAAACUUUAAUGGGAAAGAGAACCUGAGAUUUCCCACCAUGUAUUCCAAGAUUCAAAAGGAUAAUAGAAACCAGUACUUAGAGGUAAUCUCUGGUCUUCUCUUCAAUAGAUUUUCCAAAAUUCUAUCACACAGAAACUUCAAAGCAAGAAAAAUGAGCCAUUUAUAGGCUGAGGUUUCACCAAAAUUUAUGCCUCAGAACAUAAGAUGUAACUAAGAGGUUCCAUCCAGGACAUUUUCCCAAGAUGAAAGGACUUAGUCUAAAAAGAAGCAGUGACCACAAAACUCAGUGAGCAACCACUGUGGCCUUUCUGUCCACAGCGGAGCUGCUGUUUGCACUAGGGGUCUCCAGAGGCUUCCAGCACGUUCCUCGUGCAUCGCUGUGCUUGCAGCUCACUGGAACCUCUGACCGAUGGGCAUCUGAAGGCUUUGUCCUGUUCCUCUGUCCCUGUGUCUGCCUCCCAGUCAUGCCACUGUUUUCAACUCUUACCUAUUACUUCUUGAUGAAGUAGUUAGAUUGAAGUUCCCUCAAACACAUGGUCUGCUCCCCUAAAUUGUUUAAACCGUUGCUUGGGCCUAAGUGGGAAGCUAAAAGACAAGAGUCUCAAACACUGCCUUAUCUGGACAAUACUUGUGAAUUAUGAAUAUUUUAAAAUAGGCAUUUCAAUAUACACAUUUAUGAACACACACAUAUAUGAACACAUAUAUUACAAACUAAGUCACCAAGAGUCAGAAUUCCUGGAACUGUUGAGAAGACACGACGUGUCCCCUCUUCCCUUGAUGGGAAGCCAAGAUUUCAGCUGUGCUGACUUCUUUGGCUGUAUCACCAGCAGAAAAGAUACAUUAUGAACUUAGUAGAAAGACAUGCAUAUCUAUGAAGAUGAGUGGAAGCCUAGAUCUGUGAAGUGUGCUUAGAAAUGUACAGAGUGAGCUGGGCAGUGGUGGCGCACGCCUUUAAUCCCAG